GACGAACGCUGGCGGCGUGCUUAACACAUGCGAGUCGUACGGUAAGGCCCUUUCGGGGGUACACGAGUGGCGCACGGGUGAGUAACACGUGAGUAACCUGCCCACAACUUUGGGAUAACGCUAGGAAACUGGUGCUAAUACUGGAUAUGUGCUCCUGCUGCAUGGUGGGGGUUGGAAAGCUCCGGCGGUUGUGGAUGGACUCGCGGCCUAUCAGCUUGUUGGUGGGGUAGUGGCCUACCAAGGCGGCGACGGGUAGCCGGCCUGAGAGGGUGACCGGCCACAUUGGGACUGAGAUACGGCCCAGACGCCUACGGGAGGCAGCAGUGGGGAAUAUUGCACAAUGGGCGCAAGCCUGAUGCAGCAACGCCGCGUGCGGGAGGACGGCCUUCGGGUUGUAAACCGCUUUCAGCAGGGACGAAGCUUUUUGUGACGGUACCUGCAGAAGAAGCACCGGCUAACUACGUG
rnacentral:rRNA from 1 species